rnacentral:rRNA from 1 species
UCGCCUGUUUUUCAAAAACAUAGUUUUAUGAAGGUUUAUAUAAAAUGGUUUCUGCCCGGUGCUUUUUAUAGUAAACGGCCGUUUUUACGCUAAGGUAGCAUAAUCAGUUGUUCCUUAAUUGGGGACUGGAAUGAAAGGGAGAACGUGGGUAGGCUUUUUUCCUUUAAAAUCUAAAAAUUAAAUUUCUUAUGAAAAUGUGAGAAUAAAAUUUAAAGACCAAAAGACCCUAAUGAGCUUAAAUUUGGGAGGGGUCUCCCUUUACAAAUUUUUAUUGGGGGGAUAAAGGAUAUACAUCUUUUGUUGGAAUCUAAAACUUUAUAAUGGAAGGUUUAGCUACCAUAGGGAUAACAGGCCUAUUUUUUUUGAGAGUUCACAUUUACAAUAAAUUUUGGCACCUCGAUGUUGGCUUAAGAUAAACCCUAGGCGCAGAAGUUUAGGUUUUAGGCUUGUUCCGCCUAUAAAUUCUUACGUGAUCUGAGUCCAGACCGGA